CCGAUGCAUCAUUUACAGUGAAAUGUUGAAUCAAUAUGGGUACAGUGAAGGUUUUAUUUCAGUAGAACUGUGUUCGUAUAAUACAGGAGUAUAUAAAAUAUAUAUAUAUAUGUGAAUCAGGGUAGAGCUCUACAUUGUAAAUAUCACUACCACUAAAUUCAGUCAAUUUGAUAGAAAAAGAUGAACGUUCUAGGUGUAAAACUAUCCCAGCGUUCUAGGUGUAAAACUAUCCAACGUUCUAGGUGUAAAACUAUCCCAGCGUUCUAGGUGUAAAACUAUCCCAGCGUUCUAGGUGUAAAACUAUCCCAGCGUUCUAGGUGUAAAACUAUCCCAGCGUUCUAGGUGUAAAACUAUCCCAGCGUUCUAGGUGUAAAACUAUCCCAACGUUCUAGGUGUAAAACUAUCCCAACGUUCUAGGUGUAAAACUAUCCCAGCGUUCUAGGUGUAAAACUAUCCCAACGUUCUAGGUGUAAAACUAUCCCAGCGUUCUAGGUGUAAAACUAUCCCAGCGUUCUAGGUGUAAAACUAUCCACGUUCUAGGUGUAAAACUAUCCCAGCGUUCUAGGUGUAAAACUAUCCCAGCGUUCUAGGUGUAAAACUAUCCCAACGUUCUAGGUGUAAAACUAUCCACGUUCUAGGUGUAAAACUAUCCCAGCGUUCUAGGUGUAAAACUAUCCCAGCGUUCUAGGUGUAAAACUAUCCCAGCGUUCUAGGUGUAAAACUAUCCACGUUCUAGGUGUAAAACUAUCCACGUUCUAGGUGUAAAACUAUCCCAGCGUUCUAGGUGUAAAACUAUCCCAGCGUUCUAGGUGUAAAACUAUCCACGUUCUAGGUGUAAAACUAUCCACGUUCUAGGUGUAAAACUAUCCCAGCGUUCUAGGUGUAAAACUAUCCCAGCGUUCUAGGUGUAAAACUAUCCCAACGUUCUAGGUGUAAAACUAUCCACGUUCUAGGUGUAAAACUAUCCCAGCGUUCUAGGUGUAAAACUAUCCACGUUCUAGGUGUAAAACUAUCCACGUUCUAGGUGUAAAACUAUCCACCGUUCUAGGUGUAAAACUAUCAACGCACAGUAAAGCCGUAGCGUCUUAUAUAAGUACUGAGUUACUGACUUUCCUGAGCUCUAUAUUACUCCACAAACUGGACACGAAACAUUAUCUCUGAUGGUCUCUGCAGUCUUUAGGUUUGAGGUUGGCGGAUAAGGGAUAGCCUGGUAUUUAGCUACGUUUCCCGGUUGCUUCCCUGGGAAACAAAGGUAGGCUUAGCAUUCAGUCAGGUUUAACCAGGCUAGAUAAAGGAUGUUGUGACUAUGAAAUGCACUGUCCUUGUUUUAGUUCUCACUACCUUCAUACGAGGAAUGAGUCCAACACAAGGUUGUCAGAAUCGCUUCGUUGACGGAGCCCGAUCAAUAAAAAAUCCUACCAAACCCCCAAUCAAUAACUCCUAGCAAUGGGGAAAAAAUCACUUGAAUUGUUUUUUUCGAUUAGCCAUAAUUUUGGAAUCAAUGCCGACACCCCGAAACAAAUCAGAAUUUUCACUAAUCACUUCACUAGGCUUAACGAGCAAAACGCCCAAUCACAUUCAUUAGGGCACCCAACAGAAAACGUUUCAAAAUGUUUUGCAACAUUGUCCAUGUAGUCCCAAUUUGUUUCUUUGUAUUUGAUGCUUAAUGAACGUGACCCAUGCAACCCUUGGGAUAAGUGUUGGUUCACAAUCUUCAUAGGUAGAUGCUUCCGAAUCAAUUCCUUCAUUUUUGGAAUCAAAGGCCCCAAUCGGUUAAUUGAAUCUAACCCAUCCGUACUUCAUACUGAACUCUGCGCUAGACUGAAUAACCUAAACGGCCCAAUCUUUCGACGUUAGUUAACCCAUCUAUUUCAAAGAUGCUUCCUGAGAUGCCCGGGCCUACAUGUAGAUACAGUACACUGUAGCCUCUCAACAGA